CUUUUUCUUACUAACUUUUAAUUGAUUUUAGAUUAUCUUAUCAAAAGCUGGGUGCUUUUAUGGUUUUGUUCCUCCCCCCAGAAUUUUAAAAAUGUCCUCCAGCUCAUGAAAGAUGCAUUUUUCAAACAUGGUGAGAAGGAAGCAUUAAGAUCUUGUGUGAAGGCUAUUAACUUUUGUUCUACGGAGAGCCAAGGGGAGCUACAAGAUUUUGCUCGUUCUAAGUUGAUAUUGUCCAGAUGAGGCAAUUCUCCAAAAGUUUUGGAAACUUUGUGAGCAACAACUUAAUAUUUCAGAUGAGACAGAAGAUGAUGAUGUUAACAAGGAGUAUGUUGAGGACACAAACAGAUGAUGUGUUAAGGUCGUUGCUGCAAAGUUGGUUGACAGUUAGUUAAGUGGCAGCUGAUUGAUCUGUUAUGGUUUACUAUGAAUAUGUUAGUCUUGCUCUUAUUUUUAGAUCAUUAUAAGUAUGUUGUUGGAUAGUACCCGAGGUUUCUAAGAGCUCACUGGAAGUUCCUAAAAACUGUUGUGAACAAAUUGUUUGAGUUCAUGCAUGAGACACAUCCUGGUGUUCAGGUUUUUGUUCUGUUGUUGUUUUCUUGUCUCAUUAACAGUUGCAAAACAUUUGCUUGAACUCUUAUUUAUUAUAGUGUCACUAAGUGUUUUUAUUUGUUAUAGCUAGCUUAUUAAGUAUAUUAUAAUUAAGGAAUCCUGAAUGGUGUCUCACAUUUUAUUUGCUUAAUUGGUUGACCAUUAGACUUGUUCAACACAGCUGUAGGCCAUCUUUUUCAUGAUUUUUGUUGAAGUAUCUAAUUUGCUAUAUGGUUUGAGCAAUUCUUAUAAAAAUAAGCAUAGACAUAUCUGGAGACAAAUCGAACAUUACAAGAAGCACAACAUCAGUAUUUUUAGGUCAUGUUUGGAAUGUGAAAUUGGAUUGGAUUAAAAAAUAUAAGGUAAAAAACAUAAAAGAAUGAAUAAAAUAAUCAUUUUUGAAUGAUAAAUUAGAAGGAAACAAGUUGGGUAUAAAGUUGUAAUUUUUUUUUCUUAUCAUUGAAAUAUAUGAAGACGGGGAUUAGAUAGAUUGAAAUGAUCUCAAGAUCUUACUUUGUGCAUUUGAUUUCUUGUUAUUUUCUAUUAUUGGUUAUAUAUUAAUGUAUUCAUUAUUGAUGAGAUUUAAGUGUUGAUCAUAUGUAAUUAUUCCAUUCAAAUACAAUGUAAACCAUGUCCAGCCACUGCUUAACUGGCCUUUUCUUUUUAUUUGCUCAUAAGCAGUUGCUUCAACUAAAUUGGGGAAGAUAUUGAACUCCUAUGCCAUAUUGGACAUGAAAAUGUAAGGACUGUUAACAAUUAGAAUAGCUCCUUAAGCUCUUAGCCAUUUGAACUCCUUAAGCGAUUUAGCCAUUUGAACUCCUUAAGCGAUUUUCACCUUCUUUACUAAUUUUGACCUCAUUACUGACUAGUUCAGAAGAGAAUUUGGGUUUAGUUUUACACUAAUGAACAUGACUAUUUCAUAUAUGUUUCAUAUCUUGCAAAGCUGCUUUGUUUUGGUUUAUACUGUACAUAUUUUUGUUUAAUCUAACAUUACUUACUUAAGUAGUGUUGGGUUUCAUUGCUUUUUGCUUUUCAUAUAUGUUUCAUUGCAGAGUUAAAUUGUUUGACAUUAAGAAGAGAUUAACAGUUGUAGGCUUUAAAAAAUUUCAGAGCAACAUCAUGAGGAGGUUUGCCUUGGAAACCUGAGGAGAUUUCAAUUUAGAGAGCUUCAGAUGGCAACAAACAACUUCAGCAGCAAGUACUUGGUUGGAUGAUGAAUUGAAGGAUGGAGCAAGUUUCAUGCAUGAUUUACUUUGUGUAUCUUGUAAUGUUUCUGUUUUUCAUUUUGAAAGUAAAAAAUGUUCAAGAUUAUAAAACUUUAUUAUGUUAUGCUUUCAAAUUUAAGUUAGAACUAAGAUCUCAUGAAGUAGACAUAUUUAUGGUUUGAAUUAGUUAUUGUUUAAUGUAAUA